rnacentral:piRNA from 1 species
UACAAUGCCACGAGUGUAUCGAUAGCCUC